rnacentral:lncRNA from 1 species
CUACCAGGUACGAUUUUUGGUAGUAUCAUUGGCACCGUCUGUGGGAAGCGCUACCAAAAGCCAUGGUGAAUACACGAUCAAGUCUUCCACAAGCAAGCUCAUCUAUUCCAAAUCCUCCCCCUGAAGAUCAUCCUAUCCCUCAAGAGGAAUCAUCAGAGAUGGCAACACCACCACCGGCCAUCAUUACCACCAGAGCUUUCGAAGAGCUCCGCCAAUAAGUUACCGCAUUAACUCAAUUGUUAAGCCAAAGGAACUCACACCCAUCGCAUACGACGGUGAUCUGAUGGCAGCUGCUCGAGCUCGAGUUCGGGCUCCACAAAAUAUUCCUGAUAACAGUGUUGGAACCUCGACUGUACCUCCUAUGACCGUGGCCUCAAGGGCAAUAACGAUGGAAUUAUGUGAACUUGCCAGAAUCAUCCAAGAAGGAAUUCUCGCGGGCCUAGCACAGAAAGCUAAGGGGGCAACAGGCUUUAUCCCUAGCACUCUUUUUACUCCUUAAAUAUUAUCCUUUCCUCUACCUGAUAGGUUCAAGUAUCCCCGUGUGAAAGAGUAUGAUGGUACUAUCGACCCUAUCAACCAUCUGAACAUUUAUACCAACGUCAUGAAUCUCCAAGUUGCCCCCGAUCAAGUUAUGUGUAGAGCUUUUCCUCAAACGUUGACCAAUGCAGCCCAAGACUGGUUUUCAACUUUGGAGCCAAACUCUAUAGCCUCUUUCGCGGAUCUAGCCGACAAGUUCUCCGUCUUCUUCACCAACAGCAAGCGCAUCAGGAAAACAACAGCUUCCCUCAUGCAACUUCGACAAGGACAGAAUGAAUCCCUUUGCAACUUUAUGACCAGAUUCAACAAGGAAAGAUUCCAAAUUUCAGACCUCC